rnacentral:lncRNA from 1 species
AGAGUUUCAGUGAAACAAAAGGCCAUUCUAUUCCUAUUACCCUGGCAGGGAAAAAGAUAGUGAGAGAAGAGCUAAUAGAGUUCAGAGCAACCUCCAGAGACUGAAGGGAACUCAUCGGCAAAGAGCCAAUUCCGUCUCAUAUAAACCCUCAGAUUGCUUUGCAAACCCAACCGGGCAAUUCAAUUUCAUUUGAUCUCUCCAGUCAGAUUUGCCUUAUUCCCAUUACUUUAUGCUUUUAAUUUGAAUGCUCUGAAUGUAUGAGGUAUUAUGGGU